rnacentral:tRNA from 1 species
GCUCGUGUAACGCAGUGGUAGCGUGUUGCUCUUAUAUGUGCUUUUUAAGGAAGCUGGUAUGACAGAAAUGCAAAGGCCGUGAGUUCGAUCCUCACCUCGAGCA